GACAGAGGGUGCAAACGUUGUUCGGAUUUACUGGGCGUAAAGCGCGUGUAGGCGGCUUGGCAAGUCGGAUGUGAAAGCCCACGGCUCAACCGUGGAAGCGCAUCCGAAACUGCUUCGCUCGAGUCUCGGAGAGGAAGGUGGAAUGCUUGGUGUAGAGGUGAAAUUCGUAGAUAUCAGGAGGAACACCAAUGGCGAAGGCAGCUCGCUGGGACGUGACUGACGCUGAGACGCGAAAGCGUGGGGAGCAAACAGG
rnacentral:rRNA from 1 species